AACCUGGUUGAUCCUGCCAGUAGUCAUAUGCUUGUCUCAAAGAUUAAGCCAUGCAUGUCUAAGUACAAGCCUCACUAAGGUGAAACCGCGAAUGGCUCAUUAAAUCACACCUAAUCUACUGGAUAGUUAACAGUUACUUGGAUAACUGCGGUAAUUCUGGAGCUAAUACAUGCACAAAGCCCCGAACUUACGUGAGGGGCGCUUUUAUUAGAUCAAAACCAAACGGCUUCGGCUGUACUCUUGGUGACUCUGAAUAACUUUGGGCUGAUCGUACGGCCUAGCGCCGACGACAUAUCCUUCGAAGGUGUGCCCUAUCAACUGUCGACUGUGGCAUAGACGCCCACAGUGGUUUUGACGGGUAACGGGGAAUCAGGGUUCGAUUCCGGAGAGGGAGCCUUAAAAACGGCUACCACAUCUAAGGAAGGCAGCAGGCACGCAAAUUACCCAAUGACCGAAGGUCGAGGUAGUGACAAAAAAUAACGAUACGGGACUCAUCUGAGGCCCCGUAAUCGGAAUGAGUACACUUUAAAACCGUCCCCGAGGAUCUAUUGGAGGGCAAGUCUGGUGCCAGCAGCCGCGGUAAUUCCAGCUCCAAUAGC
rnacentral:rRNA from 1 species